CGAAGGGUGCAAGCGUUACUCGGAAUUACUGGGCGUAAAGCGUGCGUAGGUGGUGAGUUAAGUCUGUCGUGAAAGCCCCGGGCUCAACCUGGGAAUGGCGAUGGAUACUGGCUCGCUAGAGUGCGGUAGAGGAGAGUGGAAUUCCCGGUGUAGCAGUGAAAUGCGUAGAGAUCGGGAGGAACAUCAGUUGCGAAGGCGGCUCUCUGGACCAGCACUGACAUUGAGGCACGAAAGCGUGGGGAGCAAACAGGAUUAGAUACCCUGGUAGUCCACGCCCUAAACGAUGCGAACUGGACGUUGGGAGCAACUAGGCUCUCAGUGUCGAAGCUAACGCGUUAAGUUCGCCGCCUGGGGAGUACGGUCGCAAGACUG
rnacentral:rRNA from 1 species